CAAUAAUAGAAUUAGGUACAAGUAGAGAAUGAUACAGAGAAGGGCAGGAUUAACUUCAACUGGGGUGGGAGUAAGGAAGGCUUCCUAGAGAAGGUGACCACUGAUUUGGGUUUUGAGAGUUGAAUAGUAGUUUGCCAAGUGGGAAAGGUGUUUUAAUUAGUGGGGAUGAACUGUGCAAAAGACUGGUAUAUCCAGUGAACUGCUUUCCUUCUGUUGUUUCUUGUGACUAAUCCCCAACUUGUGUUAUACAAGAUUUAAAUGUUUGCAAGAUCUGAAAUCCUUUCUCUCUGUGAGUAGCGCCUCUCCUCAUCUUAAUGUUAAACAAGACCCCUCAAAUUUGGCCAUGAAACUAUUUUGUUCUUGAUCUAAUCUUUUAAGUUGAAGUUUAACUUCAUUUUUUCUGGUUUUGUUCUUUCAAAAACGAAGAUAAUUCUGUAAUCAUCCUCUGUUGAAAAUAAAGGUCUACAAAGUGUCCGUUACCCUGGAGCUGUACAAGUCACACACAGCUCCAUUGGAGAGAAAACUGGAUGGAACCAUUUGACUGAAAAUCCAUGUCAAAAGGCCAACAAGAAAGAGCUGAGACACUGCAGAAAGAGCAGGAAUAAAUAAGAGGUGAAGACAGACAGAGACCAGACAAGGAGGACUCAAUUACAGACUGACAGAAGACUCAAGGAAGAAAAUGAAGGUUUGUAACUUCUAGACUUCUUGUAUAGGCUUGUCUAUCUAAAAAGAUACAUAAAUCAUAUAUAUUAGCAUAUAUCAGGCAUUUAUCUGUUCAGUGGAGACCAAUUCACAAAAAUGCCAAUACUCCAUGCUUACAAGGUUCUGAAGAGUAGAAUAAAUAUCUAUUUAGGGAAAAAAUUCUAUUGCAUUUUGUGCUGUCUUAUACAUAUUAUAGAGCUUGGGGGAAGUGGAAACAACCUUCUUCUGGAAACCUUCUUUUUACAAAUGCAAGGAUGGCCUGGAAAUGGACCUAAGGUCCUUAUGGAGCCACUUUGUCUAAAAUGCUAAAGAAGUGGCUCUCACAUUGAUCCACAUAAC
rnacentral:lncRNA from 1 species